AUUGGAAGUCGUAUUGUAGCUACGUAUCAAUUCGUAUAUAUAAUUCAAUGUUACUUAUUUAAUAAAAAUAUCGACGAGUUCAUGAUAGUUUGAACCGAUACAGCCACUACAAAGUCUCUAGAGAUAUUUCAAGAUUUCUCUCCUCAGUCAUGGAUUAAAGAACAGAAAUUCACUACAUAAUUGCCACAAUAGUCGGAGCUUUCCCGAGUCUUGCUGUGCUAUACUCUCCUGUUUGAACAGAUAUUUGACCAUAAAAAAAUAAAACUGCUUCUUGUAAUUUCCUGCAACAGUCAGAUAUCUCUACUAGAGGAAUCUACUGCUGUGAAUACUUGUAAAGAGGUCUCACACUCAAGAAAGGUGACUUUGUGUGUGUGUGUGACUGAACUUCAAGGCAUUUGAGGUACCCCUAGAAAUUGUCCAAUUGAAGGGAAAUUUUGCACAGGCUGUUCUUUUGUCCAUUGGAACAAAAUAAGAGGUUUAUAGUUCUGCAAGAGAUUUUGAAUCUUUUGGCCAAGCUUAAAAAGACGGCAAAAAGCUGAAAAGAGAAGCGAAGUUGCUACAGGAAAAGGUGGAGAUGAAUGUGAUGUCCAAGAAAGCUCCCAAGUUGCAGCUGCAAUUGGCGAUAUUAAUGCUGCAGAACAUGAAUUUGUUUUGUGUCUGUCAAGCAUUAAUGGUUUGAUGCAGUUAAAAGUGAUGCAUUCCUAGUGUAAAAAUUAAGUACUAACAAGCAGAGACUAAUUCCAUUAGCCAUCAAGUCAGUAAAGUGCUAGCUGGUGCUGCUGAUUGGAACUUGCAUCGUUCUAGAAAAAUCGAAAAAGGAUACUAGACUUGCAAAUCCGAAUAAGAAGAAGAAAAUGUAUAGAUGCAAAAAAAAAUGUAUAAAACUUUUUUAUUCAUAAUAAAUUUGUAAAU